UGGUGGGUAGUUUGACUGGGGCGGUCUCCUCCUAAAGAGUAACGGAGGAGCACGAAGGUUGGCUAAUCCUGGUCGGACAUCAGGAGGUUAGUGCAAUGGCAUAAGCCAGCUUGACUGCGAGCGUGACGGCGCGAGCAGGUGCGAAAGCAGGUCAUAGUGAUCCGGUGGUUCUGAAUGGAAGGGCCAUCGCUCAACGGAUAAAAGGUACUCCGGGGAUAACAGGCUGAUACCGCCCAAGAGUUCAUAUCGACGGCGGUGUUUGGCACCUCGAUGUCGGCUCAUCACAUCCUGGGGCUGAAGUAGGUCCCAAGGGUAUGGCUGUUCGCCAUUUAAAGUGGUACGCGAGCUGGGUUUAGAACGUCGUGAGACAGUUCGGUCCCUAUCUGCCGUGGGCGCUGGAGAAUUGAGGGGGGCUGCUCCUAGUACGAGAGGACCGGAGUGGACGCAUCACUGGUGUUCGGGUUGUCAUGCCAAUGGCACUGCCCGGUAGCUAAAUGCGGAAGAGAUAAGU
rnacentral:rRNA from 1 species